AGCAGCAAGAAGGUCAUACUGCCAAGCCAUUCUGCCUUGUAUUCAUGAUGUGCCAACAACGCCGAAGAUAGAGUUGUGUUGGUACUCUAUGCUCAGCUCCUUGAGCCAUAAACUAAAAGCAUAGCAGGGUGACAUUUGUCACCAAAAUAUCUGAACCAGAUAAUUGGCUGGGGCAGAACCACCAAUGUAUUGACUAUGGCUAAGAGUAUCCUCCAAGAUGACCAGGGAACGGGUGAGGUUGCUGAAUCCAGUAGACGAUACGUCAGGGCAGACAGUGAAGUCGGCAGGGCUGGGCUUAUGUAUGCAAAAGAAUAUAAAACCAAAAGACCGAGUGCUGAUAUUGAAACGCGUCGAUGACAAAUCUUCCUCCCCUGCUCACUUCAAAUCACAGAGUCCAAUGCUCUAGCCAACCAUUCCAGAGGAAUCCAUGAACAUGGAC